AAGUUAUUGAAUUGGACGGGAAAACGCAUACAGCAAUUCUUUUCUUUAGAUUUAUAAGAACUCAAGCUCUCCAACGAUUCUUCUUAAACCUCCAACCACACCCUUAAACUGAAAAUUAAACAACUUUAAAAACAUUUUUUUUUUUCUUUUCUUUUCUUUUCUUCGUAUACAAUCUUUCUUUUUCUUUUUUUUUAUUUUUUUUUAUACAAACAUGAAAUACCCCCACACUUAUUUUUUUGCCAAACACCUUCAAAGUACUUUACAAACAUUUCUCAUAAGACAAUCUCGCAUUGCUCGCUUGGAAAGGGUAAGGAAAAAAUGUUUCAGGUGUAAGGGUAGACAUAUCUGGUGAUAAGAAAUAAAAGGUUCAACAUACACGGCUCAAAUUGGCAAUCUAAUGAUAUCAUUUUUCUUUGGGAAACAUGGUUAUUUGGGCCAUGGUGGUAAACCUAAUGCCUCUAUCAUUUCCAAGUUCAUGCAAUCAAUGAUAAACAUUUCGAAAGAUCGUUACGCAAGUUCUAGAGAUAUAUCUCACAUAAGUUCAUCACACAUGAAAGAAUAGGAGUGUAUGAAAAAUGCACACACUUUCAAUAGGCUCAAAAACUCACAUGGGAUGUAUAUGGUCACUAAAUUCACAUAUGAAGCUUUAAGUCAUGCUUUAGUUUCACAUCAACAAGGCUAUGUGCAUUUGGUUUUUCAAAGAUGAUCAAACAUAUACAAAACUAACAAGAGAAUUAGGAACUUCAUAAAACAUAUGUUAACUAAGUUCUUGAUGAUCAUGAUUCAAAUUUGAUCUAAUUAUAUCAUUGGGUCGGGAAACUAACAAAAAUCUAAUUCAAAACAAUAAGGGAAACAAGACAAUAUUUUUGGAUUUUUUAAAUUUUCCGAUUUUUUUUUUUUUUUUUUAUAGAGAAAACAAAACUAAAAAAAAUUAAAAAAUAAAAAGCAACAACACAGAAACAAAUGAAAUUCUAGAGAUUUCUACCCCCACACUUAAACUUGACAUUGUCCCCAAUGUCAGAAAACACUAUAAUGCAAAAAUAAAUAAAAUAAACAAAAUAAUAAAAAAAACAAAAUAAAGCAAUUGGACUGAAAACUUCCCUAAUUUGCAGUAAAAUCAAGCGAUGACCCUCAAGCUAAAAUUCUGCAAUCAACUUCAAGGGUGGAAAUAACCAAAAGUUCCUGCAAAGAAAAGGAAAAAUUCAGUUAAGUACGCAAGAAAAUUAAUUAAAAAAAAUAUUGCAAACGAAAAAUUGAAAAUUACGAUAAAAGAUAAUGAAUAAAACUAAUAAAUAAUCAUUGGUCGUGCUUGUUGACUUUCCACAGCUUUCCUCUUGAACAGGGUGACACUUAGCUUUUUACUUGCAAGUGAUGAUUUGAUGAUAUUGUACGGCGAAGCUUUGCUCUUUGGUUAUGUUGCAGUUCCUUAUUUGUUCUCCAAGCAGAUGUGGCAGCUUCUCUAGUUCCUCAGUUCGGACUCCUUCCGCUGGGAUGAUUGUGCAAGCUGCAUUCUUCUCUGCUUGUUUCUUCUGCACAACGGGCAGGCACGAGGGAAAGGUGUUGGUCCUUAUUUCUUUCUUCAAUCUUUCCAAGUGCCCACCUCUUGCUUUCUUUCUCCUUGUCCCUAGCUGAAUUGUCUCCACAUGCUUCGAGGUAUCAUUUUCACUUCCCUUACUGUCCCCCAGGCAGAUGUGGUAGACGAAGAGAAAGCAUAAAAUGAAGAAGAUGAGUACUCGAGAGCAAGGCUAGGUAAGCAAUCAGGAAAGGGUUCCAGGCAGUUGGCUCCAGAUUGGAAGAUUGAUACCAAAUGCUGGCUGAUUGCUCUCUUUCUCCUUGUCGGAAAACAAAGACAAGGAGAAGGACAUGGAGAAAGCAUGAUAUGAGAUACUCUUGCUUUCAACCUUUAUGAUAUGAAAUACUUUUGCUUUGAAUAGGUUGUUCGCAGGAGUAUCCCAAGGAAUGAGGAACACAGAGUGACUCGAGAGGAUUCUUUGGGAAUGCAUUUUCGGAGAUGAAGAGGUGCUGAGAGGGUGUGCUGAGAGAGUGUGCUUUUGCUGUGGAAGGCGAAGGUAGAAACUUAUAGGACUUGUCUUCACAACCGGAACUGUUCUCUCACUUAGUGUCGGCAGCCGGUGGAUGGGUGAAGAAUACAAAUUACGCGCUUUCUGACAAAGCUGCCCGUAAUUUCCGCAAAGCUGAUUCCUCAUUGAUAUCUGUAAUCGGCGCUUCGAGCUCUGAGCAUCGUCGAUUGUAGAGGUAGCAUGUGACACGUGCGGAUAAAUCUGGAAAAGAAGAUUUUCCCGUGGGUUGAAGCCCAGCUUUUGAGAAAGCUAGCGUGUCUUUGACUGUUGAAUUUCCCUCUUCGAUUUCUGAAUUGGUGCUUCGACAAAUUGCCCGAGAUUUCCGCAAAGCAAUUUGCGUGUGACAAGUGACGACACGUCUGGACAAAUUGAUCUUUUGAAAUCCGGGGUUCGGCUCGUGGUUUCUGAGCAAGCCCAGCCUUUAAGAAAUGAAACGCCUCUUUUGAGAAAAGAAUCCGGCUUUUGAGAAAGGAAACUCCUCUUUUGAGAAAAGAAUCAGACGUUUUGAGAACGGAGCCCCGACUCUUCGAUUUGCGAGAGGACGCUUCUCUGAGGAGCGCCUCUUUGAUUUCUUCCUUUUUAUAGAGACGUUAAGCUUGUUCCACAACACACUUGAGUACCCUCCCGUAAACACUCCCUUCUUGCACUUGUUUAAUCUUGAUCAUUCCGACUCUCUUCUUGUCUUUACCACCUCUGAAAAAUGUCUGGCCCUUCUGAUCGUCGUUUUGACUUGAACAUUGGUGAAGAGGCAGCUCCGCCUUCACCAGACAACAUAUGGCGGCCAUCCUUCAUAUCCCUACCGGUCCCCUUACCGUGGGGGAUUCGAUGAUGAAAAAUGACAUGACCGCUGCGGUGGUGGCCCGAAACCUUGUCACUCCCAGAGAUAACAGACUGCUCGCAAGGCGGUCUGAUGAAUUGGCAGUCAAGGAGUCUCUGGCUCUUCAGUGUGCAGUGUGCGGGUUCCGUAUCCAACAUGGCCCAACGCCUAUAUGCCCGAACCCGUCACGUUGAAUCCUUGGUGGCUGAAAUACAGAGUCUCAAGCAAGAGAUUAAAGGGCUCAAGCAUGAGAAUAAGGAAUUGCACAAGCUCGCACACAGCUAUGCCACCAGCAUGAAGAGGAAGAUUGACCAGAUGCAGGACACCGAUGGUCAAAUUUUACUUGAUCAUCGGAGGUUUGUGGGUUUGUUCCAACCGCAUCUGCCUUCGUCUUCUGGGGGCGGCACCGCGUAGUGAAGCUCCAACUGAUCAACCUCUGCCGCCUCCUCCUUCUGUGGCCCCGCCGACUGCUGAAGCCCCGCCUACUACUGAAGCACCACCCGACCAAUGAAUACUAUUAGUUUACAUCAUUGUAAAAUAUUUGUACUUUUUUUUUUUUUUUUUUUUUUUUUUUUUUUUUUUUUUUUUUGUAAUUUUUUUUUUUUUUUUUUUUUUUUUUCAUUAAUUUUAAAUUUUAUCUUUUUUUUUUUUUUUUUUUGUAAAUUAAAGUAGAAAGACUUUGGUUAACCUUCCCCCACACUUAAACUAAAUAACACAAACUCACAGAAAUCAAACAAAUAACACAACUAACUAAAACAAACAAAAUGAAAGCAGUAAAGAUAAGGGUGUAAAAAUGCAAAUCUGAUUGGGUUAGCGAUUCCAAAGUCUCCCUUCGUUGAAUGCUUGGGUUGCCUCCCAAGAAGCGCUUGAUUUAACGUCUUUAGCCGGACGCAUCUUUCCUUUAAAUUUCCCUCAGCUCCAUUUGUGCCUAAAAUCAAAGAAAGAAAAAUAAAUCAAAUAUCAAAAGUAAAAUACACAAACACCAAUAUAAACAUAAACAAAAACAAAAAUAAAAGGAUUAGCAAAGUUACUAAUCCCCGGCAACGGCGCCAAAAUUUGAUGCGUAAAAUUACUUGACACACAAAUUAAACCCUCUUUUUGACAAUUGUAGUAUAGAUGUAAGUAGGGUAUCGUUCUAGGCCGGGGAUUAGGAGGGAUUGCUAAUCUAUUCUAAAUUAAUUUAAAAAUAUUAAAUAAGACUCAAGGACACAAAAUUAGGCUAAAAACUCUAAUAACUCGAAACACACUUAAAAUGACUCAAAAUAAUGAAAACAAUUAAAUUAAACACUAGGAACUGAAAUGGACGGAAAUUAAAUUAAAAGACUAACAAUAAAGAAAACUAACUAAAUAAUAUAAUUUAAUAAUGGAUGGGUGUUUGGUUUUGAUGAAAAGUAAAUUAAACUUAAUUAAAUUACAGAAUUGAUAAAAACAUAAAAUUAAGGUAAAAUGAUAAAUGACGGACUAGCUAGAGGGUUCUUCUCCACACAUGUUAUACUUGCAUACAAAAUGAUUUCCAGUUGUUCAUUUAAUAAAUUGUGAAUCUCAAUACUCCAGAUUAACCGUGAACAGCACUUUUUUAAUCUUCAAGUUUUCCUUAAGUUAUUGAAUUGGACGGGAAAAACGCAUACAACAAUUCAAAACAUUCUUCAAAAGUCCCCUACGUGAAAAGCACAAUAGAGAUACAAUCAAAGAUCAUUAAACUUUGUGAAAACUAUAAGCAUUGACGAGGCAUUCGUAACUAUGAAAAAGCAUGAUACUCUUGCCAAGAAUUUACUUAACGUGAUUGUGACUAGCAACCUUUACUACUUGUGAAAAUAAGUUCAUAACGAUUAGGUGAAAUUCACUUAUAUUCUAGCAUCAAAUUCAUGCAUGUAAAUUAAGCGUGCACUCUCAACCAACAUACACAAAUCAGUUUUUAUACGAACGGAUAAGUAAAUUGAAUUCACAACUUAUAACUCACAACUGAAGAUAAUCAAUUCAUAUUACAAAUAUAUUCAUGGUUUCGAAUUAACCUCUAACCAACAUAAAUUUAAUUACACAUUAUUAAAAACAGAAAUAAAAUAUGAGUUUGGAAGGAUUUAACCGAAAGAGAAGGGUGCUUGCUGCUUCUGUCUGUCUUCCUCCCCGAGGCUCACUGUCUUUCCCGCUCACCUCUGCCCUCACUUCUCGUCCCCGCAGUCCCGUGCUCCUUGCGCCACGUGCUGCAAGGCAGCUUCUCUCUCUCUCGCACCAGCUGCCAAAUGGCAGCUCUCAUCUUUCUUUUUUUAUAUAUUUUCUUUUUCUCCUUCUGCCGCAAGGCAGCUGUGCUGCCAGCCUUCUGUCCUCCCUUUAUUUUCUGCAGCUGUCCUCUCCUUGUUCUGCCAGUCAAGCUGCCAAAGGCAGCUUGUGACCUCACCUCAUGCUCAAGCUGCCCCGUUUCUUUUUUUAUCUUUCCUGCACGCUGCCUUCUGUUUCAUUCUUUCCCCUUUCUUCUAAUCCGUCCUCCUUGGAUCCUUUUAGCUGUCUCUCACUCAUCUCUCCACCGCUGCCCAAAAGCAGCUUUCUCCUUUAUUCUUCUUUUUUUUUAUUUCUGGCCUCACCUCCCCGUAGCUAAGUUGUCCUCCUCUUAUUUUCUGUUAUGCCACAAAACAUGAAUCAUGAUGAUGUUUCAAACAUCAUCAUGAUUUAUUAUUAUUAUUUCUUUUAUUAAUUUUAUGUAAAAGUUGAUUUACACAGACAGGUUUAACGAAUUUAUUACAUAAAAUUUCACUUGUUCUAUUUUUAUUUUCUUUGCAUAACAAAUCCUAUAAACACAAAAAUAACGUAAAUAGCUCAAAAAUAUAAGGAACUAACUAAGAAAAGACGAGUGAAUUCGAAGUAAAAAUAUAUAUAAAUAUGAUCCGAUCAAAUACCCCCACACUUAACUUUUGCUAGUCCUCGAGCAAAACAAAGGAAAACAUGAAAAAAGUAAUAACAAUGAAAAACAUUAGCUUCCCUCUAUGUGACCCUCAUAGAAUUUCAUUCAAGAAAACAAAUCAUCAAGAACCAUAGCUAGCACCAAACAAACUAAUCCAAGUUCAUCUUCCUAAUUCAAAUAUUAGCAGUAAUCUUUAAAUCAUCCUUGAAGUGUAGUGUGUGAGAUAGCCAUGCUAAUACAAUUUCAAAUUUUUUUAUAUUUUUAAAAUCAUCAUAUGCAAACUAGCGACCUUCUCACGGGAUAUGCACUCAAUCACACAUGUGUUUAGUUUUAAUGUGUUUCGCUCAAAAAAAAUCAAAUGUGAAAUUUCUACCAUAAGCUUGCAUAAAGAUCACUUGUCCACAGUCAUAAUUGCAAAACUUAAAUCAAGAGGACUUUUAUUGGAUGUAAUGAGGUUUAGGGAUAGGGUUAUUGAAACGAUAGAAUAGGAAAACACAAGUUCCAAGCUACAUUGCAAGCAAUUCUUUUCUUUAGAUUUAUAAGAACUCAAGCUCUCCAACGAUUCUUCUUAAACCUCCAACCACACCCUUAAACUGAAAAUUAAACAACUUUAAAAACAUUUUUUUUUUUCUUUUCUUUUCUUUUCUUCGUAUACAAUCUUUCUUUUUCUUUUUUUUUAUUUUUUUUUAUACAAACAUGAAAUACCCCCACACUUAUUUUUUUGCCAAACACCUUCAAAGUACUUACAAACAUUUCUCAUAAGACAAUCUCGCAUUGCUCGCUUGGAAAGGGUAAGGAAAAAAUGUUUCAGGUGUAAGGGUAGACAUAUCUGGUGAUAAGAAAUAAAAGGUUCAACAUACACGGCUCAAAUUGGCAAUCUAAUGAUAUCAUUUUUCUUUGGGAAACAUGGUUAUUUGGGCCAUGGUGGUAAACCUAAUGCCUCUAUCAUUUCCAAGUUCAUGCAAUCAAUGAUAAACAUUUCGAAAGAUCGUUACGCAAGUUCUAGAGAUAUAUCUCACAUAAGUUCAUCACACAUGAAAGAAUAGGAGUGUAUGAAAAAUGCACACACUUUCAAUAGGCUCAAAAACUCACAUAGGAUGUAUAUGGUCACUAAAUUCACAUAUGAAGCUUUAAGUCAUGCUUUAGUUUCACAUCAACAAGGCUAUGUGCAUUUGGUUUUUCAAAGAUGAUCAAACAUGUACAAAACUAA
rnacentral:lncRNA from 1 species